CUUUUAAAAUUGCAAAUCUUAGUGUUAACUCCACCAUUGACGGUCCUCAGUCCGUAUGAAAAAGGAGGAAGGGCGCUUAAGACGUUUUUCUUUUUUAGUUGAAGUAUUAAGAAUUAAUCGUGUUUCUCUUGGUUUUAAAAUAUUAUAUUGUUCUUUUAAAUUGUUUAUAAAUCUUAAUAUUAUAAUCUACAUUGUGUUUUUUUAUUUUGUAUGAUAUACCAUACUAUUGUCCAACUGUGAAGAAGUAGGUAGGUAGCCAAUUUUAAUAGUGCAGAUCUUCGAAGACCAGAAUGUGUAGAUGUGAAUUGGAAAGUGGCAACAUAUACCUAAUUCAGACUUCAGAGAUUCAGUUAGACAUGAUUUAUGGAAAUUGGAUUCAUUAAUUUUUGGACAUUCAAAAAUAUACCAUACUACUAUAGUACUAUUGUCUGAUUGUGAAAAAGUAAGUAGCCAAUUUUAAUAGUGCAGAUCUUCGAAGACCAGAAUGUGUAGAUGUGAAUUGGAAAGUGGCAACAUAUACCUAGUUCAGACCUUAGAGAUUUAGUUCGACAUUAUUUAUGGAAAUUGGAUUCAUUAAUUUUUGGACAUUAAAGAUAUACCAUACUAUUGUCCAACUGUGAAGAAGUAGGUAGGUAGCCAAUUUUAAUAGUGCAGAUCUUCGAAGACCAGGAUGUGUAUAUGUGAAUUGGAAAGUGGCAACAUAUACCUAGUUCAGAGUUCAGAAAUUUAGUUAGACAUGAGUUAUGGAAAUUGGAUUCAUUAAUUUUUGGUCAUUCAAAGUAGCUUUAGAAACCCUAAUAAAUGUAUUUUCUAUCUAAUAAUUGUAUUAAAUAUAAUUAAAUAAGAUUUUAUA